rnacentral:lncRNA from 10 species
CACAAAAAUAACUUGAGGUCCUGUGAGCAUAGAGGGAGUUGGCAGCCAGCUGCCUACAAGCCAAGAGAAGCAGCUUCAGAAUGAAAGCUGCCUUGUCAGCACCUUGGUCUUGAAACUGUAAGAAAUCAAUUUCUGUCGUUUAAGCCCCCCAGUCUUUGGAAUUUUGUUAUGGCAGCCCAAACUGACUAAGACAGUAUCUACUAGAAGGUUCAAGUCUGAAGAGGAAAAAAGUUUGCUUUCUGCUCCGAAGGCUUGUAUGGAAUUAGAUUCGUGUGUUAGAGACACACACGUAAAGACAAAUGCACAGGCAGAAGACACUCCCAACUUCUUCUGCAUCUGGAUUUCCUGAGUCAGAAGGUAUCUUCCAGGGAUCUGAAGUGUAGAAAGAUGGAAAUCACAAGACUAUGGAGACUUGCAAACAUUCACCAGCAGUACCUUCAGAGCAAUCAACACAGCAGAAGGUCUCCAACUGAACCGAGUCCAGUUCCUGCUGAACACAAUUUGACUUCUGGAUGGCAGUCUGGAUUCUGAACCUCGCCCUUCUAACAUGGAAGCACAUGCACUAGACUGGACCUUGUCCAGUUUUGUCAGGCCCAGUCUAACCUCUAAAAUAAAAAUUGCUCAAAUAAAGUUAGAGAGCUAAGGACACAAUUUUCAGAUCUUGACAUCCAAGAAGGACGUACCCAGUGACCACCAAAUGUGAUGAGAAAGCAGUGAGCACUAUGGGCUCAGCAGAUACUUAUACCUGGUUACUCAUCCCUCCUGGGGGUCAUCAGGGAUCCCUUUUACAUUUCUGAAAUUAAACUUUUAAAAGAUAAAUUGAGGCACUAUAAAAUUUUAAAGAGUUUAUUUGAGGAAGCAUUCAUUCAUGCAUCAGGCAGCUUCACAUCAGAAGUGGUUUAGCAGCUCCACCAGUGGCACACGGCAGGGAAGCUUUUAAAGGAGAAACACAGAGGUAAAGCAGAGAAAAUGUUUGGUUGGUUUAGUGACACAGUUGCCUUAUUUGGACUAGUCCAGUGGAAAAUCCGUAGUUAUAUAAUUAUAAGUAUGUUGGCCACUUCUGCUUGGUGGAGAUUAAAUUUGAUUUUUCCUUAAUAUAGACAUUUACAUGACAUAACUCCAGUUAAGUUUUGCAUAUGUUUGGAAAUCAGGUAAGGUUGAGAUCACUUAUGAGACUUAACUGUUUUUGUCUGCUCAAGGAUUCUGCAGGCCAGGUCUCCACUGUAAUUUACUUUAACAAAGGAAAUGGAAUAUGUUGCCUGCAGCAAAGGAGAGGAAUAAGUGGAAGUCAUUUGCCUGCAUCAGCUGAGAAGUGAGAUCCGCUGGCCAUGAGGAAUCAAUGCUAUUGAAGCUUCUCUUUCUCUGUCUCUUUUAUUUGUGAGUAAAACAUUGUUCGUCCAGUGCCUGAGAUGUCUUUCUUGGUGACUCUGAUACCUGAAAAUCAUGGAAGAGAGUGACAUCCUGGAACUACUGCUUCUGGUGGUAGGCACUGAUACUCUCUAUCCUCCACGCAGUGAGACCCCUCCCUUGGAGGUGGUAAUAGGUGUCACUUGCUGGACAGCCUUCAAUUAAACAACAGUCAUCUUUAGGUGUUUUAUAAUCCCCUUAUCGCUGAACUUCAUAUGAUAUCCUAAUUUACAGUUUGGUCAACCCUGCUGGUUUCUGCAAAUGUAUUGGCAGUGCUUAUUCCACGGAGUAGACAAACAGAUGAUAGAAAAUAGAGUGAUAGCAGAACCAUCCAAUUUAAAACGCCAAUUGAAAGAGAAAGUCUCUCCCAGUUGAAGCAAUGUUAAUUGAACAGGGGCUCCCUCUGAUGAAAGCUCUUGACAGAGGACAAUCUUGCUAUUAAUUUUCCAUGGUCUUUUCUGUAAUGUUUUUCAGCUUCUCCCAGUAGAAUGGAUCUAACAACUGUAAUCUGAAACCUUUCUCUCCCAAUGAACACAGUGAAAAACAAAAACAGUCAUGAGGCAAAUAUGCGUAUAAGAGAAAAUUGCUUUUGAAGUGGUAACAUGUUGUAUAAUUCCUCUCCAACCUGUGGCAGCCAGUACAAUUUUGACUGUAGAGCAGAGUAUAAAUCAUUUCUUUUUAUAUUUAAAGAAAUAAAAAUGUACUAUAUAUGGCUCUAAAAUGGUAAAGAUUGAAAGAAAAUGUGAAAAGUACUGAACCCCUCAAGGGAUACUCUGUGUUUGAAAUUCUAACACAGAGAUUCUAACCCAUUCAUCUCUUAUGAAAGAAAAUAAUCCCAAAUCACACAGGAAAACUGUCAGUGCUGUCGAAUAUCAAUGAGCAACUCAUCAUCAAUCAUCAACAUUUUAUCUCUCAGGAAGGUUCUGAAAACUAUCCAAAAUAUCGUUGAAUAACCCCAAGGCUACCGCAAAUACUUAAUGAGAUCUUUGAGGAAUCUUUUGAAAUUUUGUUUUUAACGUUUAACAUCUUCGUUGUUUCACUUGCUCUCGCCACAGUUCUUUACAGACUCUUGUGACUUUAAUAAUCUUCUUUAUUAUUUCAGAGCACAGUGGAAAUGAAGACAGGCUUUGUACAUGAUUUAUAAAGUGUGUAUCACUAUAGCAACCAUACUGUAAUUCUGAAAACAGGCAUCUUUAUAAGAAACUCGAUGACUAUAAUGAGAAAUGACCACAAAUGGCAGUAUAGUUUAUUUUUUAGCUUAUUCUGUUUUGCAUGAUUGCCUGAUUUUAUUUAUAUUGUCAAGUAGUCUACUAAUUUCUAUACUUUCACUAAUAGUAGAUUCAGUAUGAGUCUGCCAAUUUUAUGUGAAUUCAUGUAGAAAAAUUGGUUCAAUUUUUCUGAGAAACUCCUAUCUAGCAAACUUAAGUACUCUAAACAAAACUCAGUGCAAAGAGAUAAAAUCUUCAGUUUUAAUUUUUUCCCAAGACAAUUCCCAAAUGUUACAAAUUAAAGGAUUCUUAGCAUUAUGAAAGUAAAUCAGCCAGAGUGUUGGUUACGUUGUUCAACAGCAAAGGAAUGUUAUUACCUCAGUGACUGAAGUUGGCAAGAAUACUCUUGCAAAUAUGUUAAGCAGGCAAUAAGGUAUCAAACAACAGCUGAGCCUCACCUAGGUAGCAGGACAGAAGCAAGUUAUCUGGUAUACAGAUUUCUAGGUAGACAUAGAAUUCAGGACUUCAGUUCUUCAUUGUUAAAUAAACAUUCAUUAAAUAGACAAUUAUUGCACAUAUACCAGGCAGAUACAAGAGAAUACAGAUAAUACAACAAUGCGGAGAUGAAUGAGGUCCCUGUAUUACAGGGAGCUUAUGGUUUGGUGGAAUACAAAGCAUUAAACAAUCAUUUAAAAAUAUUAUCUCAUUAACUUUGUUGUAAGUGACAUGAAGAAAAAGUGCAAAAUGGAAUGAUG